CUGCAUCUCUGCUCUUCUGCACGUUAUCUACUCGUCGUUGAUCUGCAUAAAUGUUGAGCUUGAUCACAGUAACAUCAUCUUUCUCCAGUACUGCAUCUUUGAGAAUGGUUUUCUUCAUCCUGCACGUAUCUACUCGUCAUUGAUCUGCAUAAUGUUGAGCUUGAAAACACAGUAGCAUCAUCUCGCUCCAUUACUGCAUCUUUGAGAAUGGUUUUCUUCAUCUCUGCUUCUCUGCACCUAUCUCUACUCGUAGUUGCUCUGCAUAACGUUGAGAUUGAACACACUGAGUGGCAUGCUCGUGCUCCAUUACUGCAUAUCUUUGCUUCUCUACACGUUAUCUAC
rnacentral:lncRNA from 1 species